AACGUAGGAGGCAAGCGUUAUCCGGAGUUACUGGGCGUAAAGCGCGCGCAGGCGGUGGGGUAAGUGGCUUGUGAAAGCCUCCGGCUAAACCGGGGGAGGUCAGGUCAGACUGCCCGACUGGAGUGAGGUAGAGGAGCGUGGAAUUCGGGGUGGAGCGGUGAAAUGUGUAGAGAUCCCGAGGAACACCAGUGGUGCAAACGGCGCUCUGGGCCUUUACUGACGCUGAGGCGCGAAAGCGUGGGGAGCGAACGGG
rnacentral:rRNA from 1 species